rnacentral:rRNA from 1 species
GGUGAACGCUGGCGGUAGGCCUAACACAUGCAAGUCGAACGGCAGCACAGUAAGAGCUUGCUCUUACGGGUGGCGAGUGGCGGACGGGUGAGGAAUACAUCGGAAUCUACUUUUUCGUGGGGGAUAACGUAGGGAAACUUACGCUAAUACCGCAUACGACCUACGGGUGAAAGCAGGGGAUCUUCGGACCUUGCGCGAUUGAAUGAGCCGAUGUCGGAUUAGCUAGUUGGCGGGGUAAAGGCCCACCAAGGCGACGAUCCGUAGCUGGUCUGAGAGGAUGAUCAGCCACACUGGAACUGAGACACGGUCCAGACUCCUGCGGGAGGCAGCAGUGGGGAAUAUUGGACAAUGGGCGCAAGCCUGAUCCAGCCAUACCGCGUGGGUGAAGAAGGCCUUCGGGUUGUAAAGCCCUUUUGUUGGGAAAGAAAAGCAGCAGGUUAAUACCCCGCUGUUCUGACGGUACCCAAAGAAUAAGCACCGGCUAACUUCGU